GAGCCUAAGACAGUCACAUCAGCUUCGUCCGGUGCCAAAACAAGGGACUGGUCGGUAUUUUCAGAGGUCCGGUGCCAAAACAAGAGACUGGUCGGUGUUUUCAGAGGUCCGGUACCAAAACAAAGGACUGGUCGGUAUUUUCAGAGGUCCGGUGCCAAAACAAAGGACUGGUCGGUAUUUUCAGACAUCUGGUGCCAAAACAAGAGACUGGUCGGUAUUUUCAGAGGUCCGGUACCAAAACAAGGGACUGGUCGGUGUUUUCAGACAUCUGGUGCCAAAACAAGAGACUGGUCGGUGUUUUCAGAGGUCCGGUACCAAAACAAAGGACUGGUCGGUAUUUUCAGACAUCUGGUGCCAAAACAAGAGACUGGUCGGUAUUUUCAGAGGUCCGGUACCAAAACAAAGGACUGGUCGGUAUCCUCAGACAUUUCCGCUUUGCACAUCAACUAUUUCCAAAGGUCAUAAAGGAGAUCAGUAGGGUUCUCAUGAGUGUUUUUGUAGGUUCAUGGUACAGAAGAAAGGUCAGACAGAUUUCCAAAGGUCAAAAAGAUCAAUAGGGUUCUCAUGAGUGUUUUUGUAGGUUCAUGGUAUAGAAGAAAGGUCAGACAUAUUUCCAAGGUCAAAAAGAUCAGUCGGGUUCUUUUUUUAGGUUCAUGGUAUACAGAGGAAAGGUCAGACAUUUCUAAGGUCCUAAAAGAUCAGUCGGGCUCUUUUUUAGGUUCAUGGUAUACAGAAAAAAGGUCAGACCAUUUCCAAGGUCAAAAAAGAUCAGUCGGGUUCUUUUUGGGGGUUCAUGGUAUACAGAAGAAAGGUCAGACUGUAUUUUCAAAGGUCAAAAAGAUCAGUUGGGUUCUUUUUUGGGGUUCAUGGUAUACAGAAAAAAGGUCAGACUAUUUUCAAAGGCCAAAAAGAUCAGUCGGGUUCUUUUUUAAGGUUCAUGGUAUACAGAAGAAAGGUCAGACAGAUUUCCAAAGGUCAAAAAGAUCAGUCGGGUUCUUUUUGGGGGGUUCACGGUGUACAGAAGAAAGAUCAGACAGGUUUCCAAGGUCUAAAAAGGUCAGUCGGGUUCUUUUUAAGGUUCAUGGUAUACAGAGGAAAGGUCAGACAUAUUUCCAAGGUCCAAAAAGCUCAGGCGGGCUCUUUUUUUUUAGUUUAU